UCGCUACUUUUAGUAGCAGCAAAAUGGUUGAGUUCACAUUUGUAUAGUAACUUUGAUAGUUGGUGGUAAUUACAAAAAUGCCACCUUUUGUUUAUGGGACAUGAUUGAAUUGGACAUUCGGUUGAGUUUGUCGAAAUGGCACGUAUAAACUCUUCGAAUUCUUUAGGUUCGCAAAAUUGAUCUUUGUUUUGUAUGCUUGAAUUUCGACAAAUGGGAUUUCCGUGUAACCUGAUGAACACAAGUGCAUGAAUUGAUUAGAAUUUUCUGAUCCCGAUAGGUUCGGAAGUUUCGACCCGUUUACUUAUGAAUGUGUUGAUUUCCAGUUAUUGUUUUUAUUUUAAAUUAGAGGAAUGAAAUUAAUAUAGUUAAGAAGAGAACGGGUCAAAUGGGUCAAACGAGUUGAAAAUCUAAAGUAUUUUGUUCAAAAAAUUAGAUUGUUACUGUAACAAUAUUGUUUUGUAAUCUUACUUAUGGAUUAACUAUUUAUUUAAAGUUGUCAAAAGCGAAAAGCGGAGGACAGUGACAAGCUACCUAUACGCUACAUAGCAAUAGAGAUGAAAUAGCGUGCGCCAUUUUAUGUUUAGCGAUACACUAGAAGAAAACUUUAGAAAUAAUUUAUAUGCAUAUUUUAUCAAAAUACGCUGUUUUUUCAUCUAAAUACGCAUUUUAUAUUAAAUAGUUAUAUUAAUACAGAUUAAAAUGCCUAAAAUCCCGCUAUU
rnacentral:lncRNA from 1 species